ensembl:lncRNA
AUGAUGAUGCGCCCUGACCAUAUCUCUUCCCCGAUCAUGUUCCCUAAUUUCUCUCUGUCUCUCACUCUCUUUCUCUCACUCUUUUGCUUUCUCUCUCUCCCACUGAACCUCUUCCUCCCUCUUUCUCUCUCUCUCUCUCUCUCUCUCUCUCUCUCUCUCUCUCUCUCUCUCUCUCUCUCUCUCUCUCUCUCUCUCUCUCUCUCUCUCUCUCUCUCUCUCUUUCCCGACUCACCCACGUACUCUCUGGCGCCCUCUCUCUCUGCUAAAGUGGGAUAUACCAAGGACGGAGCCUGCUCUGCUGUAUCACUGGAUGGGCACCAGAAUGAUUGGUUGAAUACCAAGGGGCGUGUCCACAGUGGCAACGUGGGCGACCACAUCAGAAGAAGGAAUGAGGAGCUCCAGUUCUGGAUCAGCUCAAGCCAGGUGACCCAGGCUGACGAGGGGGGCCUGGCACCCAGCUGGCCCCAGAGAAGGUCCUUGGUCUCCUGGUCAAAGAGCGGAAGGGGGCGCCAGCCAAGCUGGCCGUUGCCAUCUCCCUCCUCCCUGACCGCCAUGCCUAGGCAACUGUGUUUCCUGGAGCGAUCAAAGUCAAUCUGCCAUCUGAGAGAUCCUUUAGGAACAUGCCAAGGGGGGGGUUUGGGGGUAGAGUGGGAGAGAGAAGCAGACUGGAUCAAACUCAGCGCCACAGAAGAGGAGCUGUACAGUUGGAUCAUGCAAAAUAAAAGAGAAGCGAUUGUCGCUAAACCUCAGCAUACACUUCCAAUGAUUCUCUAUGCUGAUGAAUGCACCGUUCUGCCACAGAAACUUGAUAACGCAUAUUACCCAGGGGGGGAUGAGGAUUCUACCAAUGGAAAUGUUGGCUACCACACGUCUCAUGCCAGUGAUGUCUGCUGUGGAUUGGAGAACUUAAACUCGAAAUGGUGCAGAGUUCUUUCAUUGGACAGUCCUGAUGAAGGACGGUGGGAGGAGAACUUGUCAGGGAACAGAAACACAGCGACAAGUCCCACUCUUCAGAACCCUGUGGGAGACCAGAGGCCAGUGAGGCGCGUGUCCUUCUGUGAUGAGGUCCUUGUCUAUCUGUUUGAUCAAGAAAGCCCCACCAGGCCACAGCCAAGCCUGUCCUCAGUGUCCUACGAUGAGGACCCCUCCACACCAAGCAGCUAUCCUAACAACCAUCAGGACUUGGCCUUGGACCAUGGCUUUGAAUGGGAGGAUGAUUUUACCGCCCUGGACUGGGCGACUCCCACCAAGACAAACUGCCCCCCGGGGAGGGAACACUCGGAUCCCAGUCCACAGCGCUUCCACACACUGCCUCAGCAGCGGACCCCGUGGAGAUACCAGCUCCCCAAGACCUGCCUGGUCCUCACCCACGUCCCCGAAUCAGACCUGGAGGACCUGGGGCUGUAG